ACACCGUUGGUGAAGUGGUUAUCAUGCUUGCCUUCCAUAUAUCUUCCGGGAAAAUACCUCCUGCAUGAGCAAGCGGCUCGGGUUCGAUUCCCGAACGGUGUA